rnacentral:rRNA from 1 species
GACGUAGGGGGCCAGCGUUGUUCGGAAUUACUGGGUGUAAAGGGUUCGUAGGCGGUGCAGCAAGUUGGGAGUGAAAUCUCUGGGCUUAACCCAGAGGCUGCUUCCAAAACUGCUGUGCUUGAGUGUGGGAGAGGCGCGUGGAAUUGCAGGUGUAGCGGUGAAAUGCGUAGAUAUCUGCAGGAACACCCGUGGCGAAAGCGGCGCGCUGGACCACUACUGACGCUGAGGAACGAAAGCUAGGGGAGCAAACAGG